rfam:Oryza barthii chromosome 1, whole genome shotgun sequence.
AAUAAGUGCAGCCAUGAGUUUCCGUGCCUAACUUUAGUCACCCGUUUUAUUUUAAUUUUUUUAUAAUUAGCAUUUUUGUUGUUAUAAGAUGAUAAAACAUGAAUAGUACUUUACUCGUGACUUAUGUUUUUAAUUUUUUAAAAAAUUUUUUCAAAUAAGACGGUUAAAGUUAGACGCUGAAAACUAUGGCUGUACUUUGG